CGCACAAUGGGCGCAAGCCUGAUGCAGCCAUGGCCGCGUGUAUGAAGAAGGCCUUCGGGUUGUAAAGUACUUUCAGCAGUGAGGAAGGUGGGUAUGUUAAUAGCAUACUCAUUUGACGUUAGCUGCAGAAGAAGCACCGGCUAACUCCCGUGCCAGCAGCCGCGGUAAUACGAGGGUGCGAGCGUUAAUCGGAAUUACUGGGCGUAAAGCGCAUGCAGGUGGUUUGUUAAGUCAGAUGUGAAAGCCCGGGGCUCAACCUCGGAAUUGCAUUUGAAACUGGCAAACUAGAGUACUGUAGAGGGGGUAGAAUUUCAGGUGUAGCGGUGAAAUGCGUAGAGAUCUGAAGGAAUACCGGUGGCGAAGGCGGCCCCCUGGACAGAUACUGACACUCAGAUGCGAAAGCGUGGGGAGCAAACAGGAUUAGAUACCCUGGUAG
rnacentral:rRNA from 1 species